rnacentral:pre_miRNA from 1 species
UUAUAUGGAUGAGCACAGAAAGUGGCUUCUUGAGACAGAAUCUACUGUUGGUGAGGAUACUGUGAA